GAGAUGUUCAGGUUGGCCUUUCAACAACAACGCAUAAGGUGGUACGUGCUCCGGAGGUUCAGCUUCUGGAAAAGAUCAUUUUCCUCUGGCAGGAGAUAAAUGGCGUGAUCCUAGGAGCAGUGAGGAGGGAGACACUUGUUUUUUUCGGUGGAGAACACCCCGGUUAGAUCUGCGUACAACGGCAGGGUGUUUGCUGAGAGGGUGCCUGCAGGGCUCUCCACGGAAGUGGGUCCACACGUCACCAUCAGGCAGGUCUUCCAGCACCCGUCAACCACCCCAGGACCCUCCCCUAGCUCCAGACGAUGUUGGGGUCAUGCUGUUGGACCAUGGAAGACCCAGGUGUGACAACUGCGCCCUCUGCUGCUUUACCUCCCCCUGCAGCGGACAGGCUUCGGCGUUCGACGUCACCGGCCUUCUGACACCACUGUCCAUCUCAUCAUGCUUUUCACCUGUGUCCUGUUUAGCACACCUGUUCCUCAUCCUCAUCAUUCCCCCCAGAAUAUAUGUUCCCUCUGCUCCCCCUGUCUUUGUGUGUAAUUGUCUCUGUAUGUACGAAAGAGCUGUGUACGCUUCGUGUCGACAUAUAUAUAGAAUUUCACGUAAUAGCAUUAAAAAAUAUACAACGAUCAUGC
ensembl:lncRNA